rnacentral:rRNA from 1 species
CCAAGGAGUCUAACAUGCGCGCGAGUCAUUGGGCUGUACGAAACCCAAAGGCGCAGUGAAAGCGAGGGUCGUCUCGGGCUGACCCAGGUGGGAUCUCUCCGGCAACGGGGAGCGCACCACCGGCCCGUCCCGUCUGCGUUGGCAGUGGGGCGGAGCAAGAGCGUGCACGCUGGGACCCGAAAGAUGGUGAACUAUGCCUGAGUAGAACGAAGCCAGAGGAAACUCUGGUGGAAGUUCGUAGCGAUUCUGACGUGCAAAUCGAUCGUCAAACUUGGGUAUAGGGGCGAAAGACUAAUCGAACCAUCUA